rnacentral:rRNA from 1 species
GAUGAACGCUGGCGGCGUGCCUAAUACAUGCAAGUCGAGCGAACAGACGAGGAGCUUGCUCCUCUGACGUUAGCGGCGGACGGGUGAGUAACACGUGGAUAACCUACCUAUAAGACUGGGAUAACUUCGGGAAACCGGAGCUAAUACCAGAUAAUAUAUUGAACCGCAUGGUUCAAUAGUGAAAGACGGUUUUGCUGUCACUUAUAGAUGGAUCCGCGCCGCAUUAGCUAGUUGGUAAGGUAACGGCUUACCAAGGCAACGAUGCGUAGCCGACCUGAGAGGGUGAUCGGCCACACUGGAACUGAGACACGGUCCAGACUCCUACGGGAGGCAGCAGUAGGGAAUCUUCCGCAAUGGGCGAAAGCCUGACGGAGCAACGCCGCGUGAGUGAUGAAGGUCUUCGGAUCGUAAAACUCUGUUAUUAGGGAAGAACAAAUGUGUAAGUAACUAUGCACGUCUUGACGGUACCUAAUCAGAAAGCCACGGCUAACUACGUG